rnacentral:lncRNA from 1 species
AUGGAAUCCAAUUCUUUCACCAAUAACCAGAUCUUCCCAUGGAAUUUCACAGUCUCCAACAUCAUCUAUAACAGGAUCAAUCUGAGGUGGAACCGAUGAGGUUGAGCUUUCAGGUAUUGCCAACGUUUGGUUGUUUAGAUAUUCCGAGGUCUUUUUAACGUCUUGCCCGCUGAUCACAUGCACUUUCUCCUGGUCCAACCUCUUAUUCCUGGGGAACGCAUUGCUAUUAUUACCUACCACCUCUAAAGACAAUCUAUAGUUUUUCCACUCAGCCCAUGCAGCUUCAGACUCAGAUGCAUUUGAAGAAACACUCUCAUUAUUUUCACUGGUGGAGGCCGGCAUGGUAAAAUCAUUAGUUACACGUUUGUAUUCUUCAUGCUCCUUU